rnacentral:rRNA from 1 species
UAGAGGAAGUAAAAGUCGUAACAAGGUUUCCGUAGGUGAACCUGCGGAAGGAUCAUUAGUGAAGACAGGGUUUGAGACUGCGUCGUUGAACGACGUGUGCUCGACUCUUACUCUUAUCCACACCUUUGUGCACCAUGGGAUUCGUCCCCUCUUUAUUAAACACCAGUUAUAUGCAUGUCAUGAUACUCAUAGAGUAAUUAAUAUACAACUUUUAACAACGGAUCUCUUGGCUUUCGCAUCGAUGAAGAACGCAGCGAACGUGCGAAACGUAAUGUGAAUUGCAGAAUUCAGUGAAUCAUCGAAUCUUUGAACGCAUCUUGCGCUCCUUGGUAUUCCGAGGAGCAUGCCUGUUUGAGUGUCGUGAAAUACUCAAUUUCAAUCCUUUUUUGGUUGAAAUUGGAUUUGGGUGUUGUCGUGAAGGAUCACGACUCAUCCUAAACGCAUUAGCGAUCUGGCUUUGAUCACACACAAUGUGAUAAGAAAAGCAUUGUUGAUUGGAGUGAGGGUUGCUUCUAGCCGUCGAAAGACAAGCGCAUAUAACAUGUCAUUUGACCUCAAAUCAGGUAGGAUUACCCGCUGAACUUAAGCAUAUCAAUAAGCGGAGGAAAAGAAACUAACGAGGAUUCCCUUAGUAACGGCGAGUGAAGAGGGAUGAGCUCAAAUUUGAAAUCUGGCGGCCUACGGUCGUCCGAGUUGUAAUCUAGAGAAGUGUUUUCCGCGCUGGACCGUGUACAAGUCCUUUGGAACAAGGCGUCAUAGAGGGUGAGAAUCCCGUCUACGACACGGACUACCAGUGCUUUGUGAUACACUCUCGACGAGUCGAGUUGUUUGGGAAUGCAGCUCAAAAUGGGUGGUAAAUUCCAUCUAAAGCUAAAUACAGGCGAAAGACCGAUAGCGAACAAGUACCGUGAGGGAAAGAUGAAAAGCACUUUGGAAAGAGAGUUAAACAGUACGUGAAAUUGUUAAAAGGGAAACGCUUGAAGUCAGUCGCGUCUUCAGAAACUCAGCCUGGCUUCUGCCUGGUGUACUUUUCUGUUGGACGGGCCAGCAUCAGUUUUGGCGGUCAGAAAAAGGUCAGAGGAAGGUGGCACCUCMGGGUGUGUUAUAGCCUCUGAUCGUAUGUGACGGCUGCGACUGAGGACUGCAGCACGCCUUUAUUGGCCGGGGUUCGCCCACGUAACGUGCUUAGGAUGCUGGCGUAAUGGCUUUAAACGACCCGUCUUGAAACACGGACCAAGGAGUCUAACAUGCCUGCGAGUAUUUGGGUGGUAAACUCAUAUGCGGAAUGAAAGUGAACAGUUGGGACUCCUGUCAUGGGAGGCACCGACGCCCGGACCAGAUCUAUUGUGACGGAUCCGAGGUAGAGCAUGUAUGUUGGGACCCGAAAGAUGGUGAACUAUGCCUGAGUAGGGUGAAGCCAGAGGAAACUCUGGUGGAGGCUCGUAGCGAUUCUGACGUGCAAAUCGAUCGUCGAACUUGGGUAUAGGGGCGUAAGACUAAUCGAACCAUCUAGUAGCUGGUUCCCGCCGAAGUUUCCCUCAGGAUAGCAGAGACUCAGAUCGAAUUUAUGUGGUAAAGCGAAUGAUUAGGGGCCUUGGGGUUGAAACAACCUUAACCCAUUCUCAAACUUU